rnacentral:rRNA from 1 species
GGUUGACCAGCCACAUUGGGACUGAGACACUGCCCAGACUCCUACGGGAGGCUGCAGUCGAGAAUAUUUAGCAAUGGACGAAAGUCUGACUAUGCGACGCCGCGUGCAGGAUGAAGGUCUUCGGAUUGUAAACUGCUUUUGUUUGGGGCGAAAACUCCGACGUUAACAUCGUCGGAUCUGACGGUGCCAGGCGAAUAAGCCACGGCCAACUCCGCGCCAGCAGCCGCGGUAAUACGGAGGUGGCAAGCGUUACUCGGAAUUAUUGGGUGUAAAGGGCAGGUAGGCGGCUAGGUAAGUGAGGGGUGAAAUCCCACGGUUCAAUCGUGGAACAGCCUUUCAAACUGCCUGGCUUGAGUGUGACAGGGGAAGAUAGAAUUCUCGGUGUAAGGGUGAAAUCUGUAGAUAUCGGGAAGAACACCAACGGCGAAGGCAAUCUUCUGGGUCACAACUGACGCUGAGCUGCGAAAGCUAGGGGAGCAAACAGAAUUAGAUACUCUGGUAGUCCUAGCCGUAAACGAUGAGUACUAGGUGUUGGGCCCUUCGGGGCUCGGUGCCGAAGCUAACGCAUUAAGUACUCCACCUGGGGACUACGGUCGCAAGGCUAAAACUCAAAGGAAUUGACGGGGGCCCGCACAAGCGGUGGAACAUGUGGUUUAAUUCGAUGCUACGCGAAAAACCUCACCUGGGCUUGACAUGUAAGCAGUAGAGAAAUGAAAGUGGAUCGAACCGUCAAGUCGGUAACUUACACAGGUGCUGCAUGGCUGUCGUCAGCUCGUGUCGUGAGAUGUUGGGUUAAGUCCCGCAACGAGCGCAACCAUUGCCCUAUGUUGCCACUCUGCUGCCUAGCAAUAGGUAUCGGAAGCACUCUUAGGGGACUGCCUGGGACAACCAGGAGGAAGGUGGAGAUGACGUCAAGUCAGUACGGCCCUUAUGCCCAGGGCAACACACGUGUUACAAUGGAUACUACAAAGGGUUGCCAACCCGCGAGGGGGAGCUAGUCUCAAAAAAGUAUCCUCAGUUCGGAUUGGAGUCUGCAAUUCGACUCCAUGAAGCCGGAAUCGCUAGUAAUGGUGGAUCAGCACGCCACCGUGAAUACGUUCCCGGGCCUUGUACACACCGCCCGUCAAGCGAUGGGAGCCGGGGGUACCUGAAGUCCUAUGUAGGUAGGCCCAAGGUAAAACUGGUGACUGGCGCUAAGUCGUAACAAGGUA